AACGCGAAGAACCUUACCUGGCCUUGACAUGCUGGUAGUAGAAGCCGGAAACGGUGACGACUCCUCGCAAGAGGAGAGCCAGCACAGGUGCUGCAUGGUUGUCGUCAGCUCGUGUCGUGAGAUGUUGGCUUAAGUGCCGCAACGAGCGCAACCCCUGUGUUUAGUUGCCUGCGAAAGCGGGAUCUCUAAACAGACUGCCUCGCUUUAAACGAGGAGGAAGGUGGGGAUGACGUCAAAUCAGUAUGGCCCUUACGGCCAGGGCUGCACACGUGCUACAAUGCAUGGUACAGAGGGACGCAAGACCGCGAGGUGGAGCAAAUCCCAGAAAACCAUGCCCAGUUCAGAUUGAAGGCUGCAACUCGCCUUCAUGAAGCCGGAAUCGCUAGUAAUGGCGCAUCAGCUACGGCGCCGUGAAUACGUUCCCGGGCCUUGUA
rnacentral:rRNA from 1 species